GUUGGGAGGCAACAUGUCAGAUGGUUGGUUGGUGGUGGCGCUGCGAUGAUGAGGUCGACACAUUCUCUCGAUACUCGCCCGGUUCGCCCGGUGGACCUUUGUGUAUGGUCCUUCUAGAAAGCUAUCCUCCAGCACACGACGCUCCGCAGCUGAUUUUCUAGCGGUAAAUAUGAAAUACGGCUGUCACUACCAACACACCUUACUCUGGAAGCGACAAACCCCGUGAUUGUUGGGACAUGAUAGACUAGCACUGCUAAGCAGAGGGGC
rnacentral:sRNA from 1 species